AGAACAAAAAGCUAUUGAAACGCAGAGCUAUAAGCGAUAAGCAGAGAGCUCGCAGCACUUAACUAUACUCAAUACUCAAUACAAAAAGUUGAAAUCUUCAUAUGGAUGAAAAUACAAAAAUGAUCAGAAUACCUUCUAUGAAGUUCAUUUAA